rnacentral:lncRNA from 1 species
GAGACAAGUUCUCUUAUCAGUAGCAACUAGACUCUGCUGCCUGGCCGUCCAGUUCCAGAUCCCCGAGGGAACCGUCUCUUCCAGAGACCCCUCUACUAGGAUUACAGGGCAGAAAGGUCUGGGAGGUGGCUCAGUGUGUGCUGCCAUGCAAGCUUGAGGACCCGUGUUCAAUCCUUCGGAGUCGCCUGGGGAGACAGACCAGAAGAUCCCUGAGGCUUGCCAGCUAACCUCCGGAAACCAGCAGCCUCCAUGCUGUGAGAGAUCCUGUCUCACAAAUCAAGUUUGAUCACAUCAAGUAAAUGAAGAUUGAGGAAGACCCCUGAAGUCAACUUCUGGCUCAUGCA